GCUUGUUUUCUUGUGCUGUGCGGCAGAGCAGAUGGGAGGCCUAUCAGAAGCAUUCCGUGGGGACGUUCUUUUUAAUGCUUGCCACAACCCUGGAGGAGUUCCUGAGAGCCGUCCUGCACAGCGCAGCACGUCACGGCCUUCCAUGCAGUAUUUCAUGUCCCCGUCUGCCCCCUGCAGGCCCUGCUGCUGUGAUUUAGAGCCAGAUGAGAGAGGAGGACGCAGGAGGCCCUGGAUGAAGGAAUGCUUCCACCCUUCCUGAUGUUAACUGCCCCACUGGGAGGAACACCAGCAGGGACCUCUAAGGAUGCGACACUGCAGAGCUUUCACUCAAAACCCCCACGUCAGGUCAUACUUUUUAGAGGUGCUCUAAAUCAGUGGCGCACAACCUCCGAGUCAUUCGUGUGCAAAAUAUAAAAAAUGUUUUGAAUUUGGAAAAAUGGCGGCAUCCUCUCCCAAUUACAUGUGCUUGGUCCUGUUUUUGGUCUGACGCUUUACUGCUUGGUUGUACAAUGUUUUCAUUAUAAUCCUACAAACAACGUAACAGCUUUUGCCUGGUCAGCGUCAGCCAGAACUAUUGCUGUUUGCUUGGGGGUUCAAAUACUUAUUUUCUGCAUCAAAUGCAAAUAAAGUCAGAAAUGUUAUAAAAU
ensembl:lncRNA